rnacentral:tRNA from 1 species
GCCAUGGUGUAAUGUAUAUGUUGUCUGCCUAGCAACCAGGAGGUCAUGGGUUCGAUCCCCACUGUGGUA